AUUGAACGCUGGCGGAAUGCUUUACAUAUGCAAGUCGAACGGCAGCACGGACUUCGGUCUGGUGGCGAGUGGCGAACGGGUGAGUAAUGUAUCGGAACGUGCCCAGUCGUGGGGGAUAACGUAGUGAAAAUUACGCUAAUACCGCAUACGAUCUAUGGAUGAAAGCGGGGGAUCGCAAGACCUCGCGCGAUUGGAGCGGCCGAUAUCAGAUUAGGUAGUUGGUGGGGUAAAGGCCCACCAAGCCAACGAUCUGUAGCUGGUCUGAGAGGACGACCAGCCACACUGGAACUGAGACACGGUCCAGACUCCUACGGGAGGCAGCAGUGGGGAAUUUUGGACAAUGGGCGAAAGCCUGAUCCAGCUAUUCCGCGUGCAGGAUGAAGGCCCUCGGGUUGUAAACUGCUUUUGUACAGAACGAAAAGGUUUCUACUAAUACUAGGAGCUCAUGACGGUACUGUAAGAAUAAGCACCGGCUAACUACGUGCCAGCCGCCGCAGUAA
rnacentral:rRNA from 1 species